rnacentral:rRNA from 1 species
AGGGUUUGAUUAUGGCUCAGGAUGAACGCUGGCGGCGUGCUUAACACAUGCAAGUCGAACGAAGCAUUUGCGACAGAUUUUUUCGGAAUGAAGUUGCUUAUGACUGAGUGGCGGACGGGUGAGUAACGCGUGGGUAACCUGCCUUGUACUGGGGGAUAGCAGCUGGAAACGGCUGGUAAUACCGCAUAAGCGCACAAUGUUGCAUGACAUGGUGUGAAAAACUCCGGUGGUAUAAGAUGGACCCGCGUCUGAUUAGCUAGUUGGUGAGAUAACAGCCCACCAAGGCGACGAUCAGUAGCCGACCUGAGAGGGUGACCGGCCACAUUGGGACUGAGACACGGCCCAG